AUCAUCAAAGGAGCUUGUUAAAAUGCAGAUUCUGGUUCAGUAGGUCUGGGGUGAAGCCCAAGAUUCUGCAUUUCUGACAAGCUCCCAGGUGAUAUUCA
rnacentral:pre_miRNA from 1 species